GUUUGAUCCUGGCUCAGAAUCAACGCUGGCGGCGUGCCUAACACAUGCAAGUCGAACGAGAAAGUGGAGCAAUCCAUGAGUAAAGUGGCGACCGGGUGAGUAACACGUGACUAACCUGCCUUCGAGUGGGGGAUAACCUCGGGAAACCGGGGCUAAUACCGCAUAAUAUCCACGGAUCAAAGGAGCAAUUCGCUUGAAGAGGGGGUCGCGGCUGAUUAGUUAGUUGGCGGGGUAAUGGCCCACCAAGGCUUUGAUCGGUAGCCGGCCUGAGAGGGCGCACGGCCACACUGGAACUGAAACACGGUCCAGACUCCUACGGGAGGCAGCAGUGGGGAAUUUUGCGCAAUGGGGGAAACCCUGACGCAGCAACGCCGCGUGGAGGAUGAAGUCCCUUGGGACGUAAA
rnacentral:rRNA from 1 species